rnacentral:lncRNA from 1 species
AUUUGCUCGGGGUAUCAUCCUGCGGCAAUAGGAAUUUCAUUUUGCGAUGUCGCUUCUCGUCCUCUCGAGCUCCUGUCUUGUGUCCGAUCCACCUCCACCUAGAGCUCCACCUCGCUCUGGGCUUUACCUGGCUCCUGAAGCUCCACCUCGCACUAGGCUCUUCGCCAGGUAAUAAUGUCUUCUCCUCCCCUUCUUUUCCUCCAGUACAAUCCUAUCACCGCGUAGCACCUUCAGGAUUUCUCCAUCAGUUACCGUCCUGUAGCCUCUCAAAUCUAGUCUGCUCAGUGAGAUAAGAUUUUGUCUGAAAUCGGAUAUAUUUCGGACCUCCCCCAAUCUCCUCACUGCAUCAUUAUGUGUCCUC